GAGGGUAUAGCUUAAGUUGUAGAGUGCAAGCCUGGGAUGCAUGAGGUCCUGGGUUCAAUCCCCAGUACUUCCU
rnacentral:tRNA from 1 species